rnacentral:rRNA from 1 species
AGGGCACCACCAGGAGUGGAGCCUGCGGCUUAAUUUGACUCAACACGGGGAAACUUACCCGGCCUGGACACUGGAAGGAUUGACAGAUUGAGAGCUCUUUCUUGAUUCAGUGGGUGGUGGUGCAUGGCCGUUCUUAGUUGGUGGAGCGAUUUGUCUGGUUAAUUCCGAUAACGAACGAGACUCUAGCCUAUUAAAUAGGCUCCCGGCUUUUAAACGCCGGGAGGACUUCUUAGAGGGACAGGUGGCGGUUCAGCCGCACGAAAGAGAGCAAUAACAGGUCUGUGAUGCCCUUUGUUGUCCGGGGCCGCACGCGCGCUACACUGAAGAGAUCAGCGUGCUUUAUGUUCCUGCUCCGACCGGAGUGGGGAACCCAGUGAACCUUCUUCGUGAUUGGGAUAGAAGAUUGUGAUUAUUCUUCUUGAACGAGGAAUUCCCAGUAAAUGCGAGUCAUAAGCUCGCGUUGAUUACGUCCCUGCCCUUUGUACACACCGCCCGUCGCUACUACCGAUUGAACGAUUU